CAAAUCUCAUAUUAGUGGUAUUAGUUUCAUUCUUAUGUAUGUCUCUUGUUAUGUUAGUUUUGUUCUACAGAUUAGAGAUAUUCAUUCAUACAUUUUAGCUACUGUAAACCUGUGUUAGAUUACAUAGGUUUAAAAUAACUAAAAUCUAGUAAUGAAUGUCUCUGAUCUGUUUAACAAACUAACAGCAUAAGAGAUAUGCAUAAGAAUUAAACUAAUAUCAUUAACAUGAGAUCAUUUUAUCCCAUAUAUCUUAAUUUUUGAAUCAUUCUUCUACACGGACCCCCAGGUACUGGUAAAACAUCAUUGUGUAAAGCAUUGGCUCAGAAGCUGUCAAUUCGGUUCAGCUCCAGGUUUGGAUGUGUUAUGCAGCUUGAGAUGUUUUAUCACUCUGAGAUAUCCACAGUCCCAGUUGAUUGAAGUUAAUGCUCAUUCUUUGUUCAGCAAAUGGUUUUCAGAAAGUGGCAAAUUGGUAUGUGCUGCUCAUCAAGCCUGAUGUUAGUCCAUUUACACAUUUUCGCUCCCAGCUAUGAACUAACGAACAUAAGGACUCAUUUUAACCUUUUAAAUGAUUAAUAUGAUUAAUUUUAACUUUCCAA